rnacentral:rRNA from 1 species
UUGAACGCUGGCGGCAGGCCUAACACAUGCAAGUCGAACGGUAACAGGAAACAGCUUGCUGUUUCGCUGACGAGUGGCGGACGGGUGAGUAAUGUCUGGGAAACUGCCUGAUGGAGGGGGAUAACUACUGGAAACGGUAGCUAAUACCGCAUAACGUCGCAAGACCAAAGAGGGGGACCUUCGGGCCUCUUGCCAUCGGAUGUGCCCAGAUGGGAUUAGCUUGUUGGUGGGGUAACGGCUCACCAAGGCGACGAUCCCUAGCUGGUCUGAGAGGAUGACCAGCCACACUGGAACUGAGACACGGUCCAGACUCCUACGGGAGGCAGCAGUGGGGAAUAUUGCACAAUGGGCGCAAGCCUGAUGCAGCCAUGCCGCGUGUAUGAAGAAGGCCUUCGGGUUGUAAAGUACUUUCAGCGGGGAGGAAGGGAGUAAAGUUAAUACCUUUGCUCAUUGACGUUACCCGCAGAAGAAGCACCGGCUAACUCCGUGCCAGCAGCCGCGGUAAUACGGAGGGUGCAAGCGUUAAUCGGAAUUACUGGGCGUAAAGCGCACGCAGGCGGUUUGUUAAGUCAGAUGUGAAAUCCCCGGGCUCAACCUGGGAACUGCAUCUGAUACUGGCAAGCUUGAGUCUCGUAGAGGGGGGUAGAAUUCCAGGUGUAGCGGUGAAAUGCGUAGAGAUCUGGAGGAAUACCGGUGGCGAAGGCGGCCCCCUGGACGAAGACUGACGCUCAGGUGCGAAAGCGUGGGGAGCAAACAGGAUUAGAUACCCUGGUAGUCCACGCCGUAAACGAUGUCGACUUGGAGGUUGUGCCCUUGAGGCGUGGCUUCCGGAGCUAACGCGUUAAGUCGACCGCCUGGGGAGUACGGCCGCAAGGUUAAAACUCAAAUGAAUUGACGGGGGCCCGCACAAGCGGUGGAGCAUGUGGUUUAAUUCGAUGCAACGCGAAGAACCUUACCUGGUCUUGACAUCCACGGAAGUUUUCAGAGAUGAGAAUGUGCCUUCGGGAACCGUGAGACAGGUGCUGCAUGGCUGUCGUCAGCUCGUGUUGUGAAAUGUUGGGUUAAGUCCCGCAACGAGCGCAACCCUUAUCCUUUGUUGCCAGCGGUCCGGCCGGGAACUCAAAGGAGACUGCCGGUGAUAAACCGGAGGAAGGUGGGGAUGACGUCAAAUCAUCAUGCCCCUUAUGACCUGGGCCACACACGUGCUACAAUGGACGGGACAGAGGGAAGCGAAGGCGCGAGCCGGAGCGGACCCCAGAAACCCGUUCCCAGUUCGGACUGCAGUCUGCAACUCGACUGCACGAAGCCGGAAUCGCUAGUAAUCGCGGAUCAGCAUGCCGCGGUGAAUACGUUCCCGGGCCUUGUACACACCGCCCGUCACACCAUGAGAGUUGGGAAUACCCGAAGCCUGUGAGCCAACAGUUAAAUGGGGCAGCAGUCGAAGGUAGAAUCAAUGAUUGGGGUG